rnacentral:rRNA from 1 species
AUUGAACGCUGGCGGCAGGCCUAACACAUGCAAGUCGAGCGAGCGGCGGACGGGUGAGUAAUGUAUGGGGACUGCCCGAUAGAGGGGGAUAACUACUGGAAACGGUGGCUAAUACCGCAUACUAUCGGAUAACCCAUAUGGGAUUAGCUAGUAGGUGGGGUAAAGGCGCACCUAGGCGACGAUCUCUAACUGGUCCGAGAGGAUGAUCAGCCACCAGGGGACUGAGACUGGGCCCAGACUCUUCCGGAGGCAGCAGUAGGAAAUAUUGCACAAUGGGCGCAAGCCUGAGGCAGCCAAGCCGCGUGUAUGAAGAAGGCCUUAGGGUUGUAAAGUACUUUCAGCGGGUAGGCGUUGCCCGCAGAAGAAGCACCGGCUAACUCCGGGACAGCCGCCGCGGUAAUAC